rnacentral:rRNA from 1 species
AACGCGAAGAACCUUACCUGGGCUCGAAAUGCAGAGGGCGAUAUCAGAAAUGAUAUUUUCCGCAAGGACUUCUGUAUAGGUGCUGCAUGGCUGUCGUCAGCUCGUGCCGUGAGGUGUUUGGUUAAGUCCAGCAACGAGCGCAACCCUUAUCAUUAGUUGCCAACACGUAAGGUGGGGACUCUAAUGAGACUGCCUAGGUUAACUAGGAGGAAGGCGAGGAUGACGUCAAGUCCGCAUGGCCUUUAUGUCCAGGGCUACACACGUGCUACAAUGGUCGGUACAGAGGGCUGCAAGACCGUAAGGUGGAGCAAAUCCCAGAAAGCCGAUCUCAGUUCAGAUUGUGGACUGCAACUCGUCCACAUGAAGUCGGAAUUGCUAGUAAUGGCGCGUCAGCAACAGCGCCGUGAAUACGUUCCCGGGCCUUGUA